rnacentral:rRNA from 1 species
GUAACACGUGGGUAACCUGCCCUAAGUGGGGAUAACAUUUGGAAACAGAUGCUAAUACCGCAUAAACCUAACACCGCAUGGUGUAGGUUGAAAGAUGGUUUCGGCUAUCACUUUAGGAUGGACCCGCGGUGCAUUAGUUAGUUGGUGAGGUAAAGGCUCACCAAGACCGUGAUGCAUAGCCGACCUGAGAGGGUAAUCGGCCACACUGGGACUGAGACACGGCCCAGACUCCUACGGAGGCAGCAGUAGGGAAUCUUCCACAAUGGACGAAAGUCUGAUGGAGCAACGCCGCGUGAGUGAAGAAGGUUUUCGGAUCGUAAAACUCUGUUGUUGGAGAAGAAUGUAUCUGAUAGUAACUGAUCAGGUAGUGACGGUAUCCAACCAGAAAGCCACGGCUAACUACGUG